CAGGAGUUGGACCUGGUGGAACUCUUCCAGGCGGAGCUCCGAUAUUACCUCAGACUAGUGCAGGAGCUGGAGGAAAAAGUGGUGGUAAAGCAUCCAAGCAAGUUCCAGGCAUCGGCGUACCUGGACUUUAUCAGGGUGGAUUUGUACCAGGUCAAGGUUUUGGAGGCCGAGGGGUUCUCCCUGGAGUAGUCACUGGAUCUGGAAUUGGGCCUCAAACUGGGACUGGAGUACUUGGUCAAGGACAAGGAAGCAAUGGUCGAGGACAAACUUUAUCUGGAGUUUUUCACGGUUACCCUCUAAUAUCACCAAAAUCAGGAACAGGAAAAUCAAAGAAACAAGGCAAAGCUGCAGCCAAAUAUGGUGGUGCUGGAGCUGGAGGAGGCCAUCUUGGUCAGGGAGGAGCCUUAGGAACUGGAGGACUUCCUGGAGGUGGCAUAGGUGUCGUCCCUGGAGCAGGAAGUGGA